rnacentral:rRNA from 1 species
GCAUGUCUAAGUAUAAGCAAUUCUAUACUGUGAAACUGCGAAUGGCUCAUUAAAUCAGUUAUCGUUUAUUUGAUAGUACCUUACUACUUGGAUAACCGUGGUAAUUCUAGAGCUAAUACAUGCUAAAAACCCCGACUUCGGAAGGGGUGUAUUUAUUAGAUAAAAAACCAAUGCCCUUCGGGGCUCCUUGGUGAAUCAUGAUAACUUAACGAAUCGCAUGGCCUUGCGCCGGCGAUGGUUCAUUCAAAUUUCUGCCCUAUCAACUUUCGAUUGUAGGAUAGUGGCCUACAAUGGUUUCAACGGGUAACGGGGAAUUAGGGUUCUAUUCCGGAGAGGGAGCCUGAGAAACGGCUACCACAUCCAAGGAAGGCAGCAGGCGCGCAAAUUACCCAAUCCCGAUACGGGGAGGUAGUGACAAUAAAUACUGAUACAGGGCUCUUUUGGGUCUUGUAAUUGGAAUGAGUACAAUUUAAAUACCUUAACGAGGAACAAUUGGAGGGCAAGUCUGGUGCCAGCAGCCGCGGUAAUUCCAGCUCCAAUAGCGUAUAUUAAAGUUGUUGCAGUUAAAAAGCUCGUAGUUGAACCUUGGGCCUGGCUGGCCGGUCUGCCUCACCGCAUGUACUGGUUCGGCCGGGUCUUUCCUCCUGGGGAUCCGCAUGCCCUUCACUGGGUGUGUUGGGGAACCAGGACUUUUACUUUGAAAAAAUUAGAGUGUUCAAAGCAGGCCUUUGCUCGAAUACAUUAGCAUGGAAUAAUAGAAUAGGACGUGCGGUCCUAUUUUGUUGGUUUCUAGGACCGCCGUAAUGAUUAAUAGGGAUAGUCGGGGGCAUCAGUAUUCAGUUGUCAGAGGUGAAAUUCUUGGAUUUACUGAAGACUAACUACUGCGAAAAGCAUUUGCCAAGGAUGUUUUCAUUAAUCAGUGAACGAAAGUUAGGGGAUCGAAGACGAUCAGAUACCGGUCGUAGUCUUAACCGUAAACUAUGCCGAACUAGGGAUCGGGGCGAUGUUAUUCUUUUGACUCGCUCGGCACCUUUACGAGAAAUCAAAGUCUUUGGGGUUCUGGG